AGGCCUACCAUGGUGGUAACGGGUAACGGGGUGUUAGGGCACGACACCGGAGAGGGAGCCUGAGAAACGGCUACCACAUCCAAGGAAGGCAGCAGGCGCGCAAAUUACCCAAUCCCGACACGGGGAGGUAGUGACAAUAAAUAACAAUACAGGGUUCUUUUGGAUCUUGUAAUUGGAAUGAGUACAAUUUAAAUCUCUUAACGAGGAACAAUUGGAGGGCAAGUCUGGUGCCAGCAGCCGCGGUAAUUCCAGCUCCAAUAGCGUAUAUUAAAGUUGUUGCAGUUAAAAAGCUCGUAGUUGAAUUUCGGGAUCAAUAUUUCGGUCAUGCCGUUGGUAUGCACUGUUAUCAUUGAUUUCUCACCUUCUAAAGAACCGUAAUGCCAUUAAUUUGGUGUUACGGGGAAUUAGGACUGUUACCUUGAAAAAAUUAGAGUGUUUAAAGCAGGCUCACGCUUGAAUACAUUAGCAUGGAAUAAUGAAAUAGGACAUCCGAUUCUAUUUUGUUGGUUUCUAGGAUCGAUGUAAUGAUUAAUAGGGAUAGUUGGGGGCAUUAGUAUUCAAUUGUCAGAGGUGAAAUUCUUGGAUUUAUUGAAGACUAACUACUGCGAAAGCAUUUGCCAAGGAUGUUUUCAUUAAUCAAGAACGAAAGUUAGGGGAUCGAAGACGAUCAGAUACCGUCGUAGUCUUAACCAUAAACUAUGCCGACUAGGGAUCGGAUGAUGUUAAUUUUUUAAUGACUCAUUCGGCGCCUUACGGGAAACCAAAGUGUUUGGGUUCCG
rnacentral:rRNA from 1 species